rnacentral:lncRNA from 1 species
UGCCUCUGCACUCCGAUCCAAUACUCCUCAAAUGCAGUUUUUUUUUCUUUUAAAAGAAAAUUUUAAAACAUUUAAAAUUUUUAAACACAAAAAUUUAAACACAAAAAAAAAUUUAAAAAUUUAAAACACAAACAUUCUAAGAUUCUUUGGCACCACCAUGUGGGAAAACCACGAACUGUUAUUUCCAAAUUUCAAUGUGUAAUGCUGUCAUGCGCCAACGCAAGCAAAAUCCACCAGACAGGGAGGAAAGCCCCACUGGUGAGCACUUCGUGGAGGACAAAACCUCGACUCACUUUCUCUCCUGGGGAGGAGACAAGCCUGUGCUAACGCUUCAGCUAUUUGAGCACACAUCCCACCAAAGCGGCUUUUCCACUGGAAGUGCUGUUUGUCCCAGUAAUGCUUAUCUGGAGCCCCUCCAUUCAGCAGGAAACGAAGGGAGUCAUAAACGUGCAUUUUCUUGAAUUUAUUAGAGACAAUUCAUGCUUUAAAUAGGAGGUUUUGGUAAAUAGAACAAGAAAAACUUAUAAGGCUUAAAGAACCAUAAAACGGAAGGUAUAUUCCCC